UGGGGAAUAUUGCACAAUGGGCGCAAGCCUGAUGCAGCAACGCCGCGUGAGGGACGACGGCCUUCGGGUUGUAAACCUCUUUUGGCAGGGAAGAAGCGAAAGUGACGGUACCUGCAGAAAAAGCACCGGCUAACUACGUGCCAGCAGCCGCGGUGAUACGUAGGGUGCAAGCGUUGUCCGGAAUUAUUGGGCGUAAAGAGCUCGUAGGCGGUUUGUCGCGUCUGCUGUGAAAACCCGAGGCUCAACCUCGGGCCUGCAGUGGGUACGGGCAAACUAGAGUGCGGUAGGGGACAUUGGAAUUCCCGGUGUAGCGGUGGAAUGCGCAGAUAUCAGGAGGAACACCGAUGGCGAAGGCAGAUCUCUGGGCCGUAACUGACGCUGAGGAGCGAAAGCAUGGGGAGCGAACA
rnacentral:rRNA from 1 species